CUCGAAGAGAUGCAGAGAAAGAGAAGAAGGAAAAGAAUUUCCAUUAUGCUAAGUGGUUUUGGAUUCUUCUCUGGUCAUCAGCACGAUUUUGAGAUGAUAAACUCAAUCUCAUAAAUCGUCAAUAACUCAACCUCAAAAAUCUGUCUGAUUCAUCUCUCCGAUCAAGUAAGCUCAGAUCAGAUACCGAUUGUUUUCUUUCUGAUCUGAAUCGAUUUGUGUAAGAUUCUCUUCUGAUGUAUUCAAACAGGGAAUCAUCAAAGGCGAUCUAGGAGAACGAAGCAAGAUUACUUGGUAUAUCUUGAACCUCUGCUAAGGUUAACACAAAUAGUUGGUUUGAUAAUUUGAUUCGUACUAUAAGAGUUCACUUAUUGGAUGGUACUAUAAGCGGAGUGCUAUUGUUGGAGAUGGAAUGGGGACUAUGGUGGCAAGGAACCCGAGAGGCAAAAGUGGAAGAUCUUACUGGAAUUAGAAAAACAAUCAAACCUCUGGAAGAAUCAGGGGCUUUAGUUUGCAGAAUUGAU